GUGGGAUCUUCUGCGGUGACCUGGUCCAGCUUGCCGCGUGAAGUGAUGUAGGCCUUUAGGGUUGUAAAGCUCUUUUACCAGGGAUGAUAAUGACAGUACCUGGAGAAUAAGCUCCGGCUAACUCCGUGCCAGCAGCCGCGGUAAUUGUCGGCACGCGGU
rnacentral:rRNA from 1 species